rnacentral:ncRNA from 2 species
CUGAACCCUGCGGGAGAGAUCGGCAGCGCGUUUGCGUAGCCGGCGCCGAAGGAGCAAUCCACCCCGGAAACUCUCAGGCAGAAGGACCGCAGGGGAAGG